rnacentral:rRNA from 1 species
CGCGUAGGCGGAUGAUUAAGUCAGAUGUGAAAGCCCAGGGCUUAACCUUGGAACUGCAUUCGAUACUGCUUAACUAGAGUAUGGUAGAGGGAAGUGGAAUUCCGGGUGUAGCGGUGAAAUGCGUAGAUAUCCGGAGGAACACCAGUGGCGAAGGCGACUUCCUGGGCCAAUACUGACGCUGAGGUGCGAAAGCGUGGGGAGCAAACG